CCGNNGGUGAACCAGCGGAGGGAUCAUUACCGAGUUUACAACUCCCAAACCCCUGUGAACAUACCUAUUUGUUGCCUCGGCGGUGCCUGUUCCGACAGCCCGCCAGAGGACCCCAAACCCUGAUUACAUUUAAGAAGUCUUCUGAGUAAACCGAUUAAAUAAAUCAAAACUUUCAACAACGGAUCUCUUGGUUCUGGCAUCGAUGAAGAACGCAGCGAAAUGCGAUAAGUAAUGUGAAUUGCAGAAUUCAGUGAAUCAUCGAAUCUUUGAACGCACAUUGCGCCCGCUAGUAUUCUGGCGGGCAUGCCUGUCCGAGCGUCAUUUCAACCCUCAAGCCCCCGGGCUUGGUGUUGGGGAUCGGCGAGCCUCCGCGNCCGCNNUCCCCUAAANCUAGUGGCGGUNUNNCUGUAGCNUCCNNNGCGUAGUAGCACACCUCGCACUGGGAAACAGCGCGGCCACGCCNUUNAACCCCCAACUUCUGAACGUUUGACCU
rnacentral:rRNA from 1 species